rnacentral:rRNA from 1 species
GACGAACGCUGGCGGCGUGCUUAACACAUGCAAGUCGAACGGAAAGGCCUGCUUUCCCUUGUGGAUUGCGGGUACUCGAGUGGCGAACGGGUGAGUAACACGUGAGUGAUCUGCCCCCAACUUGGGUAUAAGCCUGGGAAACUGGGUCUAAUUCCCGAUAGGACUGCAGGGUGGUGCCUGUGGUGGAAAACGAUUUUCUAGUGGUUGGGGAUGAGCUCGCGGCCUAUCAGCUUGUUGGUGGGGUAGUGGCCCACCAAGGCGGCGACGGGUAGCCGGCCUGGGCGGGGGAUGGGCGACACUGGAACUGAGACACGGUCCCGCCCCCGACGCGAGGGGGCGGCAGGGGUGGGUAAUCAAUGGGAGGGAGCGGGACGGAGAGACGCCGCGGGGGGGAGGAAGGGCUGCGGUUCGGAGAACUAGCUUAUUAGGGAGGAAGAGAAGGCCACGUAUUUAGGGGGGUGUUGACGUUAGUGAAACAGAAAGCCCCGGCUAACUACGUG